rnacentral:lncRNA from 1 species
AUAUAUUUUUUUUUUUUAUAUUCAUAUGAUUCAGAAAAUAUCAAGUAAAAUAAGAAAAAAUAUUUAUAUAAAUAAAUAAUAGGCAAAUCUCCAAAAUAGCACAUUUCUAAGUUUAUGUCACAAAAAUAGCUCUCAAAAACUAAAAUGACCAAAAUAGCAUUUUAUUUUUUGAAAAAUUUAAAUUUUUCUUAUUUUUCAAAAUUUGAAAUCUUAUCCCAAAACCCCACUCCCCAACUCUAAACCCUAAAGCUUAAACUCUAAACCCUAAACCCUAAACUCUAAACCCUAAAUCCUAAACCCUAAAUCCUAAACCCCACCCCUUAACUCUAAACCCCACCCCUAAACCCCACUGCUAAACUCUAAACCCUAAACCUUAAAUCUUAAACCCUAAACCCUAAAUCCUAAACCCCACUCCUUAACUCUAAACCCUAAACCCUAAACCCUAAACCCUAAAUCCUAAAUCCUAAACUCCACCCCUUAACUCUAAACCCUAAUAUCUAAAUUAAUUUACCAUUGGGGU